UACAACUUUUAGCAACGGAUCUCUUGGCUCUCGCAUCGAUGAAGAACGCAGCGAAAUGCGAUAAGUAAUGUGAAUUGCAGAAUUCAGUGAAUCAUCGAAUCUUUGAACGCACCUUGCGCUCCUUGGUAUUCCGAGGAGCAUGCCUGUUUGAGUGUCAUGAA
rnacentral:rRNA from 1 species